UACGGGGGGGGCAAGCGUUGUUCGGAAUUACUGGGCGUAAAGGGCUCGUAGGUGGCCAACUAAGUCAGACGUGAAAUCCCUCAGCUUAACUGGGGAACUGCGUCUGAUACUGGAUGGCUUGAGUUUGGGAGAGGGAUGCGGAAUUCCAGGUGUAGCGGUGAAAUGCGCAGAUAUCGGGAAGAACACCCGUGGCGAAGGCGGUUCUCUGGGACGGUACUGACGCUGAGACGCGAAAGCGUGGGGAGCGAACAGG
rnacentral:rRNA from 1 species